AUUGAACGCUGGCGGCAGGCCUAACACAUGCAAGUCGAGCGCGCGGAGGACGGGUGAGUAAUGUCUGGGAAACUGCCUGAGGGAGGGGGAUAACUAAUGGAAACGGUAGCUAAUACCGCAUACCAUCAGAUGUGCCCAGAUGGGAUUAGAUAGUGGGUGGGGUAACGGCUCACCUAGGCGACGAACCCUAGCUGGUCUGAGAGGAUGACCAGCCACAUUGGAACUGAGACACGGUCCAGACUCCUACGGGAGGCAGCAGUGGGGAAUAUUGCACAAUGGGCGCAAGCCUGAUGCAGCAAUGCCGCGUGUGUGAAGAAGGCCUUCGGGUUGUAAAGCACUUUCAUUGGUGAGGCGUUACCCGCAGAAGAAGCACCGGCUAACUCCGUGCCAGCAGCCGCGGUAAUUC
rnacentral:rRNA from 1 species